UCACUAAUUUAUACCUUUCCUAUAUACUUUUACUUUUAAGUAAAUUGAAACAAAAUGUAAGCUAACAACAGAAAGAAGAUCAAGUUUAAGCUUAUAAAAAAAUCCUAUAUAUGUGCAGAUUUUAAUAAAAGAACAACCUUUCAAUGUACCUUGGCAAUUGAUAAACUUCAAUUGAAUCAUAAUUUCCUGUCAAUAUGCACAUCUACAUAGUAUGUCCUUAUUAUCUACAAAGUUUCAUGAAAUUCUGUUGUGUGGAUUCAGGGGAGUUACAAUAACAAACUGUUGAAGUAGUACAUUAAAGCAAAUAAGUUCAAAGGGGCUUAAUUCCUAGAAAAAAAAUUGAAUCUUAAUUUCCUGUCGAUAUGCACAUCUACAUU
rnacentral:lncRNA from 1 species